ACUGGGAGAGGAAGAGCCACCCCCAAUGUGGGUGGGCACCAUCCAGUCAGCUGCCAGUGUGGCUAGAACAGAACAGAUGGAAGAAGGUGGGGUAAGCUGGCUUGCAGAAUCUUCUGGCUUUCAUCUUUCUCCUGUGCUGGCUGCUUCCUCCCGUUCCUCCUGCCCUUGGACAUCAGACUCCAGGUUCUUCGGCCUUUGGACUCUGGGACUUACACUAGUGGUUUGCUGGAGGGUCUUGGACCUUUGGCUGCACUGUCAGCUUCCCUGCUUUUGAGGCUUCUGGACUCGGACUAAGCUGCUACUGGCUGCUUUCUUCCCCAGCUUGCAGAUGGCCUAUUGUGGGACUUCGCCUUGUGAACAUGUGAGCGCAUUCUCCCUGACAAACUCCCUUUCAUAUAUACAUAUAUCCUAUUAGUUCUCUUCUUCUGGAGAACUCUGACUAAUGCAGGCUAUUCAUGGCCUUUAUCCAUUUCUCUGUUGGUGCUAUUCAUAUUUUGCUUAUUGAUUUAGAAAGCAAUAUAUUUUGCAUUUUUUAUUUUAUUACUGUUAUAUUGUAUAGCUAUUUUAAAGCUAUUAAGCCAUGAUUUAUUAUGUGUGUUGUAAAUAUUUUCUUCAUUUUAUUGUUUGCUUUUUAAUAUUUUUCUAUGGUUCUUUAGUUGAGCUGAAUCGGUUAACUAAAGUAGGCAAAGGUUUUCUGUCGAGGGUUGGAUAGCAAAUAUUUUAGGCUUUAUAGGCCCUACAGUCUCUGACACAACCACUCGACUCUGCUGCUGUAGCUACAGACAAUUCAUUAACAAAUGGACAUGGCUGUGUUCCAACAAAACUUUAUUUACAAAAACAGGUGGCGGGCAGCUGGAUUUGGCCUACAGGUUGUAGCUUGCUAACCCCCAAUCUGUACAACUGUUUAAUAUUCCCCCUGAGGUUCUGAUGGUUACCCUUCUAACUUUAGCAAUAUCUCAUCCUUACUCAGAUCUGUUCCUUGAGGAAGCCCACAAUGAGUGGGACACAGAGCCUGCAAUCCCCGAAUUGUCUCUUUCCCAGGACAGUCCACCAUGUCUAUGCCAUUCAAUCAGUGCUGCUUUGUUCAGAGCAACAACCCCCAACCUUUUUGGCACCAGGGACCGGUUUUGUGGAAGACAAUUUUUCCACGGGGGGCGGGAAGUAGCUGCGGAUGGGGUGGGAGAAUUCAGUUCUUACAAGGAGCUCAUAAGGAGUGUGCAACUUAGAUCCCUCAUAUUUGCAGUUCACAAUAAAGUUUGCACUCCUGUGAGACUCCAAUGCUGCCACUGAUCUUACAGGAGGUGGAGCCCAGGUGGUAAUGCUCACUCGCCCAACGCUCCCUUCCUGCUUGCGGCCUGGUUCCAAACAGGCCAGAGACCGGUACCAGUCUACGGCUGGGAGUUGGAGACCCCUGGUUUAGAAGACCAAAUGCUGCCAUGGUUCUAAAUCUUUACUUCUAAUCUGUCAUUUUAUGAAAUAAAAAGAUGAAUGCACUGAGAAGCCAGCAACAGCAUCAGAACGUCUCUCGCCCUCACACAAGGAGCAAACUAAGCAGAACAUCAAAAGGAUGGCGCUAGAGCUGAUUUUGGAGGCUUAAGCAGGAAGCAGAGAGUGGGUGUGCUUUCCAGGAAGGAAACAGUGGUACGGGGCGUGGACCAUGCGGUUGGCUUUCUGCUUUAAGGUGCAGCCGUGGGAUGACUCUAACUCGAUGUCCUAAAUCAGCCUGUCCAACGCAAAUAUAGUACCAGCCACAAAUGCGAGCCACAAAUGUGAUUUUAAAUUUUCUCAUAGCCACAUUAAAAAAGAGAAAUGAAUGUAAUUAAUUUUAAUAAAAUAUUUAAUUUAAGCCAAAAUAUCAAAAAUAUCAUUUCAACAUGUAAUUGAUGUGAACAAUAUUAUUAAUAAGACACCUUACCUAAUUUUAUUAUACAAAGUCUUUGUAAUUCAUUGUGUAUUUUACACUUACAGAAUAUGUCAAUUUGAACCAGCCAUGUUUCAAAGGCUUAAUACCCUUGUCUGAAAUGCUCACCUGCAGUGCGAACCCAGAAUAAUUUAGUCCUUUCACAAGGUACCAAUUGGUGCCCAGGCACUAGCAUAUCAAAUAUACAACAGGGGGCUAAAAUAGCACUUGAAAUAUAGUGAGAUGGGGAUUUUUUUAAAAAAAAUUUACUAAAAUCCUCUCAAGGGGAACAUGUAUCAUAUGUGGUUAUGAGAAAUCCUUUGAAAAGUUUGCCGUGGCCAAAAGAAGGGUAGGAGUUGGAGAUGGAGAAACUCCCAUGAAGAACUCCUAGGUCAUAGGUCAAUCGCUGAACUUGGAUCUCUCAGAGAUUUCACCAUUUUUAAAAAUUACUUUUCUAGGGCCAAGACAAAGGUCAAUAGUGACUCAAUUUAUUAUUGGAAAAAUUUUAACAACUUCAAUCUCUAAUAAGAGGGCCUGAACAAAAUCGUGAACCACCCACAUGAAAGAAUAUUUUGCCAUGAUUAAAAUACUAUUUAGAAACAUGGGGAUAUACCUAAUACAGAAUGGCAAGUAGAGGAGGAAAGCAGGACUGAGUGUAAUUAUUCAUACAAGCUGAACCAUAUUUAAUAAGUGCAAAAGAAAUAUGCCAAAAUAUUGCCAUUGUUUUUAUUAGGAAGUAGCAUCAUGGGUGAUUUUUCUGGACUUUUCAAUGUUUUUCUAAUGAACACAUAUUACUUUGAGGAUUAUCAGGAAGGGGAUAAAACAAAACCCAAUGACUCACUUGCCAGAAUUUCCCCGGUUCUGUAACUACUGAAUUACAUAUGUGUAUUUACAAUGCGUGUGUCUUUGUAGUUAUGCAGGUGUGUGUGCACAUGUGUGUACAUGUGUGCACGUGUAUCUUCCCGAGUUUUCUCCUGAACAUGAUCUCAGACUGAUGCUCCAGAGAUCUAGGAAAAGGCAAACGUCUUCCACUCUAACAUAAUUACUUCCUUGAAUUUUAUUAAUUUGGAUAGAACAUCAUGUCUGUAGCCAUUCUGUUGUCAUUUCUAAUCCCCACAUCCCCAAUUGCUUUUUGAGAGAUAAUAUCUCUUACGAACAUUUCUAGCUAGAUAUAGAAUGAUUUCUCCUCUUCACUUUAUGUGUAAAUAAGACAAUAAAUCAUUUCUGAUCUCCAGGUUCCCUCUCCUAAAUUUCAAUCCAGAAGCAAAGAACGUGAGGUGACUAUGCAGCCAAAGAAUCAUGCCACAUCACUUUCAUGACAUCUAAUCAUACCAGCCUGACUGAACAGCUUUUCAGAAGAUCAUUUUAUAUAGUCUGUUUUAUACGAUAGGGUUAAGAGGGAGAAAGAAAACUGAUAAUAAACAAGAAGUAGAAAAUUUAAACUAUUUGGAAAAAAUCCCCCAAGUAAUGAUAAGAAAUGGGGUAAUCAUUAAAUACUUUAAGACUGCAACAUAUUCAGCUAAGAGACAUAUGCUAAGAAGAUAAAAGUUUAUAGAAGAAAAUAAUAUAUUAUGAAUAAUUCUUUUUCCAGGAGCAUGGUAAAUUAGAUUCCCUGACAAGCCCACCUACAUAAAAUAACUCAAAUACUGAAUAAUAAAUGUUUUAAAAUAUAUUUUGUACAUUAACUUGUGUAAAGGUAAGUAUAUAUGCCAGUCUCCCAAGUGAAGUAAGACACAGAACUCUAGAAGUACCAAAAAGAGCACCGAUCAUGGAGAAUUUUGCCAAAAUCCAGAAUCCUUGAGUUUCUGUUUUAAUGACUACACCACAUACAGGUUGCAGAAAGUAAAGCCCAAAACAUACCCAGGUGGGGAAUAAAAAUGAGAUCCCCCUACAACACUGAGACUCCAAAGAACUUUACCCACAGUGAAGCCCCACUGAAAAGAAAGGAAUAGCAAGGAAAUUGGCUAUCUCAACCCUAGCGUUGGAAGGAGUAAAUUAAAAUAACCCCCUGAGAAUACAUAACUAUAAGUUGGGCUUCAUGUGUAUUUGAGUUUCUGUUAUCUAUGUAGUCUGAAAACCCUAAAAAGGAAAAUUUAAUUUGAGGUGGACAUUGAUGGAUAGUGUUUCAAAGUGACUGGCCGAAAAUAGUCAACUUUAACCUGGACCUCAAAUAAUCUGCAUAGACACACUUCUAGUAAACAUGGGCAGUUCAUGGUCAAAAUAACAAAAUGCAAGAAAACAUGGCACAUUCUAGUCCCUUUAAAUAAUGGAUUAGUUAUCUAGACAAACCCUCCCAAUAAAAGAUAAAAACUAAAAAUUCUGAUGUUAAAAAGCAAACAGCAUUAAAAGGUAGGAGAGUUCUGCUUCUGGGGAGAUGAAGUAGGCAUACUUUUCUCUAUUCUUCCCACUAAGUGCAAGUAAAAACCUUGGUAAUUAUACAUCAGGCAUUCUCAGAUGAAGGAAGACCAAGAGAAUCUAUCACUAGCACACCUACCCUAAAAGAAUGGCUAAACGAAGAUCCCUAAACAGAAAGGAAACAAUAAAAGAUGGAACCUUAGAACAUGAGGCAGGAAAGAACUAACAUUGUAAGCCAAAAUAUGGGUAAAUACAAUAGGCCCUAAUUUUCCUCUUGAGUAUCCUAAAUUAUGUUUGAUGGCUGAAGUGAAAAAUUAUAACGCUGACAUUGCUCUAAAACUCUUUGCAAAAGCACAAAAGAUUUGGCAAGAACACAAAAAAAUCAAGAUUUGUAAAAUUCAUAUCUUGAAAUAGAGUUAACAAACAUUAAAAACUUAGAAAGCCCUACCGUCUGUCUAAUUAAAUUCUAGAAUAAGACAACAGGAAAUAGGAUAUGUUCUGUGGAUAACAGCUGAAAAUUUUCCAGAAUUAUUGAAAUACAUUAAUAAGGAGGUGUAGGAAGACCAACAAAUGUACCCCAGAAUCAAUACCCAGACUUACUAUGGUAAAAUUUCAGAACAUUAGAUAGAAAGAGACAUUAAAAAGAAGUCAAAGAGAUCAUCGACAAAUAAAUAGCAACGAGACUGACUGCUAGAAUCUUGCAGCAACCACGGAAGUGAGGAGAUAAUAGAAAAAAUACCGUCAAUAAGCGGGAAAAAAAAAAUUUCUACCUAGAAUUGUAUAACCAUAAAAAUUCACUUCCAAAGAAAAGGACCAAAAAACCCACAAAAACCAACAGAGACAAAAGUAAACAUGUAUCCCACUAAAUUAAAUUCUAAAGUGGAUACUUCAGUAGAAUAAAGAGAUCACAGAUGGAAGGAUUGAGAUGCAAGAAGAAAUGAUGAGCAAAGAAAGUAAAUUCAAAGAAACAUGGAUUCUAUCAAAAAUAAUUAUGAUAAAUGGGAAAACAGUCUAGAAGUAAAAUACUGUAUAACUGUAGUAUGUAAGUUUGGAUGGGGUGAUUAAAGUUAAUGCACUUCAAAUCCUCAUAUUGUUGAAAAGAAGGGUAAAUAAUUUUGAAUUGCAAAUAUUUGAAAGUCAAAUAUGGAAAACAAUAAAUCAAAUAAAUAAUAUUAACCAAAAAACCAGCACUACAUAUGACAAACCCACAAUUAAAAUCAUACUCAAUGGUAAAAAGUUGAAGGCUUUUCCUCUAAGAUCAGAAAUAAGACAAGGAUGCCCACUUUCACCACUUCUAUUCAACAUUGAACUGGAAGUUCUAGUCACAGGAAUCAUUCAAGAAAAAGAAAUUAAAAGCAUCCAAAUCAGAAAGGAAGAAGUUAAAUCGUCACUGUUUUCAGAUGACAUGCUCCUAUAUGCA